AACCCAUGUUAAGGGCAUCUUCUCAAUAAAUCUUUUCAUCUCUCCCAUGUAUCAUAAAGUGUUUCUAAAUCCAUCUGCACAAAAGAAGAGAUAUCAUUCAUUAACUU
rfam:Gossypium arboreum cultivar AKA8401 contig_11437_3, whole genome shotgun sequence.